UACGGAGGAGGCAAGCGUUAUCCGGAAUUAUUGGGCGUAAAGCGUCCGUAGGUGGUUUAGUAAGUCUGCUGUUAAAGCGCGGGGCUUAACUCCGUAUCGGCAGUGGAAACUACUAGACUAGAGUGUGGUAGGGGUAGAGGGAAUUCCCAGUGUAGCGGUGAAAUGCGUAGAUAUUGGGAGGAACACCGGUGGCGAAGGCGGAUCUCUGGGCCAUUACUGACGCUGAGGAGCGAAAGCGUGGGGAGCGAACAGG
rnacentral:rRNA from 1 species